rnacentral:rRNA from 1 species
UCUGGUGGCCAUAGCAAGGUGGAACCACCCGGUCCCAUCCCGAACCCGGCCGUGAAACACUUUAGCGCCAAUGGUACUGCAGGCUCACCUGUGGGAGAGUAGGUCGCCGCCAGAG